UACAGAGGUCUCAAGCGUUGUUCGGAUUCAUUGGGCGUAAAGGGUGCGUAGGCGGCGGCGUAAGUCGGGUGUGAAAUCCCAGGGCUCAACCCUGGAACUGCACUCGAUACGUAGGAACUGGAGUGGGGAAGAGGGUCGUGGAAUUCCCAGUGUAGAGGUGAAAUUCGUAGAUAUUGGGAAGAACACCGGUGGCGAAGGCGGCGACCUGGUCCUUGACUGACGCUGAGGCGCGAAAGCGUGGGGAGCAAACAGG
rnacentral:rRNA from 1 species